rnacentral:lncRNA from 1 species
CAGAAAAAUAGCAAAUCUAUUCUUUUUGUGGAUCCGUUCUUUUCACGGACAUGUUCGUGAGGCAUCCAUUGCAUCAGGGAAGAUUAGGACAUCAUAGCAGGGAAUGCAAAGAGAAAGGAGCUUCUUUGUUCUGCUUUGAAGUAUUCAAAUAAGAUCUUAAAUAUCAAAACAAUAGCAACGUCUUGAGAGAAAAAGAUGCUCUGAACCUCUACGAGCUAAGGCCCUGGACUAAACAGUAGGCAAAGAAGAUGGGUCAGCAUAAGCUUUCUCCACCCCUAGAGAGCAGCCUUCUCGAGGAUAUUGGAGAUAUUCUGCCCUGCCUGCCACCUCUCACCUCCUCUUUCCUGGAGCAGGAGGAGUGACUUACCUGUUUGCUGGGAAGGGGAGAAAUUAACACCCACUGCUCCACGUGGG